GAACACGGAAAAGACAAUGACAAGGAAAAGGGUGAUGAUGAUAUAUACUGUUUAAGAGUACGAACGAAUAAAUAGAUCCCCAUGAUCUCCAAGCAAACGACUCGAAUGGAGUCAAGUCAACCCGACAGGUCUAUCCUUCAGUUGGGCGCAGCUGCCAUGCAUCUUCCCAAUUUGAUUAAACAAAUUACUGGUGCCUGAGCACGAAAUCUGCAGCAUACAGGGAGAUAUCAACAACUUACUGUUUACUUUGGGGCAAUCUGAGUCCAGUUCUAAGGUGCCUCGGUGCUAAAGGGAGAAAUUUCAAGUGUAAACAAUGGCAUCCAAAACCUUGUUCUCAAUCAUUCGACGUGUAAAGCGAAAGGAGGAAAGAAAGAGAUCAUUCUUGAAGAAUGGAAGCAUCUUACUAAAGGAUCUAAUUGCUUCUUGUGAUGGAAAAUCUCAUCCUAUUCGUUGUUACUCUGCUGCUGAGAUCAUCAGAGCUACCAACAACUUUGAUCCUUCUUGCGUGAUAGAUAGAUUAUGCUACGACAUUUACAGGGGUAUUCUAGAUGACCGAACAGUUAUCAUUAAGAAGCAUUAUGUCGUCGACUGGGCUAUUCGUGAUAUUAUCAUAUCAAUGCAGAUGAGCACCCAUAAGAAUUCCUUGAAAUUAUUAGGCUGCUGCUUAGAGUUCGAUACACCAGCUUUGGUGUUUGAAAAUGCAGGAAAAGGAGGUCUCAACAAUGAUGGGAGUUUAGCAGUGGAUGAUGAAUUAUUACCAUGGAAAACUAGACUGCGUAUUGCAAAGCAGCUUGCUAAUGCACUUACAUACCUACAUACUGCCUUUCCAAGGCCCAUCGUUCAUAGGAGUAUAACAUCCCACUGCAUUUUAUUGGACGAUGACUAUGUUCCCAAACUCUUCGACUUUACAUUCUCCAUAACCAUUCCUCCUGACCAAUUGUAUGUUCAAGAAAAUUUCUCAUCAGGGACACACGGGUACAUGGACCCUACUUACCAAAAUUAUUAUAUAAGUUCAGAAAAAACUGAUGUUUAUAGCUUUGGUGUGCUUUUACUUAUAUUCUUGAUGCGACGAAAAGCUGUGGAUAGAAACUCAGGACAUGAGGAACUACUUACUAAAGAUCCGAAACUUAAUGUUUCUGAUGGACAGAUUCAAAUAGAGAUAAUUGCGGACCCUAAAAUCCUUGAGGAAGUCGGGGGAGAUGAGCAAGCACAACAGCAACUGCAGGAUUUCCUAGCACUGGCAUUGUUGUGCAUCCAAGAGGAAACUGAAGCGAGGCCAGAUAUGAUUGAUGUGGCCAAAGAACUUGUACGAAUUGACAAGUCUAUCUUGCCUUAGUUCAGUCUUUCAUCUGUUAAAAGAGUCGAUAUUAAGCUCUAUGUAUUAGAAGAAUAUCCAUAAUUCUCCUUAUGUAAUCAAAUUAUCUGAUUAUAAAUACUUAAUUAUGUGGAUUUCAACCAGCAAGCAAGGACCACCCUCUGAUUAGAUCCGUUUGAGUUUCAUGUCAAGUUCAAAAUCACUUUAACACUACCCGUACAACGAACUAUUCAAAUAUAUUUUUUAUGUCGUCCAUGUCGUAGAUAUAUGAUUGUCGUUUACAAACAGCAUGGCAUGCUUUUCCCGGACAACACCCACCAAAACAGAGCGGAGAACUUUGAAAAAGCACAGCUCAACUCCAAGCACUCUGAAAUUGGUGGGAAAUGCAAACCCUAACGCCAAUACGACCUCGUUUUGCGAGGCUGUGGAGCUUGAAUCCUUCGUCGCUCUCUCUCAGAACCUUGAGCCCUCGAGCAUUCUCUUCUUCUUCUUCAGAUUACUCCAACCAGUCCCGCGGUGGCCUCCCUCGCUUCUUCUCCGAGCUUCUCCCUACUUCCAAGGGAGGCAUGGUUCGCGUACAAGGGGAUGAGUUCUGGCACAUGACCAAAGUUUUAAGAUUGCGCACAAACGAUAGGGUAGAGCUCUUCAAUGGGAAAGGAGGUUUGAUACAAGGUUUAAUUCAGAGCGUCGACCGCUCUGGACUUGAUUUUUUGGCAUUGGAAGAUCCAAAGUCAGUUCUUCCACAGAGCACACAAUGGCAUGUAUUUGCAGCUUUUGGUACUUUAAAGGGUGGUCGAGCUGAUUGGCUUGUUGAGAAAUGCACGGAGCUGGGGGCUGGUAGUUUAACUCCUCUGCUGACAGAACGGUCUCCUACUGUCUCAGAAAAUCGACUAGACAGGUUGCAGCGUGUCAAUAUGGCAGCAGCUAAACAAUGUCAACGGCUGCAUGAAAUGAUCUUGAAUCCUCCAACGAAUAUUAAUGGUCUUUUACCUCUUGUUGCAGAGUCAAAGCUAGCUUUGUUGGCAGUUGCAGAAGGUACUCCUCUUGUUAGUGCAUUAACUUCGUCAGGAACGGAGUCCAGUGGGUUGAUUGUGGUUGGACCUGAAGGUGACUUCACUGAGAAAGAGGUGAAUGAAUUGAUGCAAGCUGGUGCUAUCUCUGUUGGUCUUGGCCCACAUCGAUUACGGGUUGAAACUGCAACUGUGGCUCUUCUGGCAACUCUCAUGUUGUGGUCUGAUUCUCAAAAUACAUGCGAUACUUGAUCUCACUCUCAAGGGUAGGUGUUUCAGCCGCUGGAGGAAUUCCUGAAAGAGUUAGUUGGUGCCGCCCCAAAAAAGUUUGUUGGUUCAGGGCUCGUAGGAAAUGUCGAAACUUGAAAGAAUGCAUGGUGGAUUUAGGUUGUGCACGAAAAAAGAAUUCAAAAUGUCAACUUCAGAAGUUAAAACAUACAAACAAGGAUUUGUUUUGUAGUCAAAACUCUGGCAGGCAGCCUUUCUCAUUCGUUAGGAAGAAGAGGGUGCCGUGCAGGUUGAUGCGCACAAGAUUGAAAAUGGAUUGCUCCUCAGACUUAUAUAACUAGAGUCCACGGUCAACAAAGGCCCCUUUCGUGUAUCAUUUCCCAGUCAUAGCAUGCAUCUUCUCUUCCAUGUCUAAUAAUUAUAAUCACUCGAAAACUACACGUAUGAUUUAUUUAGUUGAAUUUAUAGAUAGAAACCCCACUCAAUGCAAUUUUGGUGACGUUUAAUCUUUACAAUUAUGAUUAAUUAACGACAUA